rnacentral:tRNA from 1 species
UAGCUCAGUCGGUAGAGCGUGGCGCUAACAACGCUAAGGUCGCGGGUUCGAUUCCCGU